rnacentral:rRNA from 1 species
UAGAGUUUGAUCAUGGCUCAGGACGAACGCUGGCGGCGUGCUUAACACAUGCAAGUCGAACGAUGAAGCCCAGCUUGCUGGGUGGAAGAGUGGCGAACGGGUGAGUAACACGUGAGUAACCUGCCCUUCACUCUGGGAUAAGCGCUGGAAACGGUGUCUAAUACUGGAUACGACCCUUACAGGCAUCUGUUGGGGGUGGAAAGAUUUAUCGGUGAAGGAUGGGCUCGCGGCCUAUCAGGUAGUUGGUGAGGUAACGGCUCACCAAGCCGACGACGGGUAGCCGGCCUGAGAGGGUGACCGGCCACACUGGGACUGAGACACGGCCCAGACUCCCACGGGAGGCAGCAGUGGGGAAUAUUGCACAAUGGGCGAAAGCCUGAUGCAGCAACGCCGCGUGAGGGAUGACGGCCUUCGGGUUGUAAACCUCUUUUAGUAGGGAAGAAGCGAAAGUGACGGUACCUGCAGAAAAAGCACCGGCUAACUACGUGCCAGCAGCCGCGGUAAU